UCACAGAGGGACAUUAUGAGGCAAUUCUCCAAGCCGUAACAGAAUUGCUGGAGUGACACAUUGGAGAAUCUCUCUGCCACAUGAUUCAUUGAAGUCCCUGGCAAAGACAUUAGGAAAACACCAUUUAUGGACUGAUCACCUAGCAGUUGUGUAUUAGAUUUAUCUGCACAGUACAGAAGAUAUGAGGCAUCCCAGUCUUCCACAGGAUCUGAAUCCAGAAAACAUUAUGGAUUACACUGAUAUAAUUAAAAAUAUGAAAGCAGUUUCAAAAUAAAAAUUAAUCUCUUCA